CCUAUGAAGCUUCACUGUUCCCUGGGAUUGGCUUUGGGCCUUUCCUGUGCAGCUUAGGUGGAAGGCGAAGAAGGCCCCCUUCUAGGGGGGUCUGAGCCAUUAGUGAGAUACUACUCUGGAAGAGCUAGAAUUCUAACCUUGUGUCAGGACCUACAAGCUAAGGGACAGUCUUAGGUAGACAGUUUUUAUAGGGCGUAGGGCUCCCAAAAGGUAACGGAGGCGUGCAAAGGUUUCCUCAGGCCGGAUGGACAUUGGCCCUCGAGUGCAAUGGCAGAAGGGAGCUUGACUACAAGACCCACCCAUCGAGUAGGGACGAAAGUCAGCCUUAGUGAUCCGACGGUGCCGAGUGGAAGGGUCGUCGCUCAACGGAUAAAAGUUACUCUAAG
rnacentral:ncRNA from 1 species